UAGUGGCGAACGGGUGAGUAACACGUGAGUAACCUGCCCUUGACUCUGGGAUAAGCCUGGGAAACUGGGUCUAAUACCGGAUAUGACCUUCCAUCGCAUGGUGGUUGGUGGAAAGCUUUUGUGGUUUUGGAUGGACUCGCGGCCUAUCAGCUUGUUGGUGGGGUAAUGGCCUACCAAGGCGACGACGGGUAGCCGGCCUGAGAGGGUGACCGGCCACACUGGGACUGAGACACGGCCCAGACUCCUACGGGAGGCAGCAGUGGGGAAUAUUGCACAAUGGGCGCAAGCCUGAUGCAGCGACGCCGCGUGAGGGAUGACGGCCUUCGGGUUGUAAACCUCUUUCAGUAGGGAAGAAGCGAGAGUGACGGUACCUGCAGAAGAAGCGCCGGCUAACUACGUGCCAGCAGCCGCGGUAAUACGUAGGGCGCAAGCGUUAUCCGGAAUUAUUGGGCGUAAAGAGCUCGUAGGCGGUUUGUCGCGUCUGCCGUGAAAGUCCGGGGCUCAACUCCGGAUCUGCGGUGGGUACGGGCAGACUAGAGUGAUGUAGGGGAGACUGGAAUUCCUGGUGUAGCGGUGAAAUGCGCAGAUAUCAGGAGGAACACCGAUGGCGAAGGCAGGUCUCUGGGCAUUAACUGACGCUGAGGAGCGAAAGCAUGGGGAGCGAACAG
rnacentral:rRNA from 1 species